AUACCAAUAACGACUGUAUAAUUCGGCAACUUCCUGCUGAGCAUUCUAUAUAUAAACACACUGCCUUUAGCCGGGUGUAGAGGUUCAUGAAGUCUCGGGUCUCGCAGUUUUUACUCCGCACACUCUUAAUAAACUAUUCGGUCGAUGAUUAUUUGAUUCAUUUUCUACAGAGUUUCAAUCAAAAAUACGUAAGGUAAAAGACAAUCCAAAUUAUUUAAUUAUUGAUUCUCUAUAUUGGUCGUAUAAAGAUGUUUAUUUAUUUAUUUGUCUUUUUUUUUUUUUAACUGAGAAAAACAUUUGUACUAGAAAUCUUAAUCCGAUUUUUAAUAUAAUCACAUCUGUAGAUUAACAACGUGGGACAUUAUUAGAGAGAUAAUUUUUAUUUUUUUUAUUUUGUUUUGUUUUCGUACUUCGUACUCGUAGAUCAUUCGUCCGUCUAUUCCAAUACAAGUAUUUUUACGAGUGGCAAUAACUAAUUUUACAUUUUCUGUUUCAUCUAUUAUUUUUACUUCGUUCAAAACUUUUUUUUGAAAAUCAUAAAAAAUCUUGUGUGGACCGUCAUUUGUCCGAAAACAUUAUCAUUUUAUCCCCGAAUAGGAAAGUAAAAAUUAAUAAUAACGGUACUGAAACAUUUUAGAGUUACUUGUUUCCUAAAUCGUGAAACUAAUAUUUUAAAAAAAUUAGCAAUAACAUUUAAUGAAUUGCCUUGUGUAUUAAUCAUUUCGACUUCCAAAGGGUUUAUAUUGUUAUGUUAUGACAAAUGGAAUCGUCGGCCCUAUGAAACAUUAGCUAACAAAUUGAGAGGUCCGCCGGAUUACCCGAUUAUAGGGUCAUGUUUGGAAGGUUUUGGUGGUAACAAAAAAAAAUUAUUUUAUGUUUGUAUUGUAUUUAGCCUAAUAACUGUACAUUAGGUAUUUUAUAAUUUCUAGAUCACUACGAAAAUGCAUUGAAUUAUGGACAAUCAUACAAUUACGGUUUAUUUAAAUUAUGGGCUGGUAAUAAAUUAGUCGUUGUCAUUUCUAA